CAAUAGCGUAUAUUAAAGCUGUUGCGGUUAAAAAGCUCGUAGUUGGAUUUCUGUCAAGGACAACUGGUCCGCCCUCCGGGUGAGCACAUAGUUUGGUCUUGGCAUCUUGCUGGAAGCUGUUGCUGCACUUGGCUGUGUGGCGCAGCGUCCAGCACUUUCACUUUGAGGAAAUUGGAGUGUUUCAAGCAGGCACAUGCCUUUGGACACAGUAGCAUGGAAUAAUUAGAUUGGGCUUUUGCUCCAAUUUGUCGGUUUCUGGAGCUGAGGUGAGAAUUAAUGGGGAUUGUUGGGGGCAUCCGAAUUUAGCCGUCAGAGGUGAAAUUCUUGGAUCUGCUAAAGACGGACAACUGCGAAAGCGUCUGCCCAGGAUGUUUUCAUUGA
rnacentral:rRNA from 1 species